rnacentral:lncRNA from 1 species
CUUAAAUUAGCACUACUUGUUACGAUAUGAUUUUAUACCUAGAAGAGCCAAAAAGCUCCACCAGAAAACUUCUAGAACUAGUAAAUUAAUUCAGCAAAGUAGCAGGAUAUAAAAUCAACACCCAUAAAUCAAAAGCAUUUCUGUAUAUCAGUGACAAAUCCUCUGAGAAGGAAAUGAGGAAAACUACCCCAUUUACAAUAGCCUCAAAAAAAAAAAAAAACAAAAACUUGGGAAUCAACUUAAUGAAAGAGAUGAAAGAUCUAUACAAUGAAAACUACAGGACCCUAAAGAAAGGAAAUCAAAGAAGACCUUAUAAGAUUGAAAAGAUCUACCUUGCUCUUGAAUAGGCAGAAUUAAUAUUUUCAAAAUGACCAUAUUACCAAAAGCACUCUACAGAUUUAAUGCAAUUCUGAUCAAAAUCCCGAUAGCAUUUGCCGCAGUCUGGCUGGGCACAAUUCAGGAGCCACUUGUCAAAAGAAACGAACUUUAUUUUUAGAACACACACACCGCACCACACAGCUCUUCAGGAAAAACCCUCAGAGCCCAACUGCCACCACCGGCUUCCCACAAGCCUCUCAACCUCCCCUACUCCUCCUGCUCUUGAGGCUGAUUGGCUGGGUCGUGUGGGCAGAGCCAAAAAAAGUCCCCCAAUGAGCAGCUCCGUAGUCUGAAAGGGCUGGGAAACAGCCCAAUGAGCAUCACCGCAGAGGAGCCAAUCAGUUGGCAGCUAGAAGUUUGCUGGGGCCGCUGUGAGCCAAUCAUCAGCUGGCAGCUGGAAGUUUGCUGGGGCCCCUUCAGCUGUGGCUCUCAACAUCUCCCCCAGCAGCAUUCCUCAUGAAAUUCAUCUGGAAAAAUAAGAGACUCA